GGCCUGGUAGCUCAGCUGGUUAGAGUGCUGGCCUGUCACGCCAGAGGUCGAGGGUUCGAUCCCCUUCCAGGUCGCCA
rnacentral:tRNA from 3 species